rnacentral:rRNA from 1 species
UACGUAGGGUCCGAGCGUUGUCCGGAAUUCCUGGGCGUAAAGAGCUCGUAGGUGGUUUGUCGCGUUGUUCGUGAAAACUCACAGCUUAACUGUGGGCGUGCGGGCGAUACGGGCAGACUUGAGUACUGCAGGGGAGACUGGAAUUCCUGGUGUAGCGGUGGAAUGCGCAGAUAUCAGGAGGAACACCAAUAGCGAAGGCAGCUCGCUGGGACGUUACUGACACUGAGGCGCGAAAGCGUGGGGAGCGAACAGG